CCUGGGUUCAGCCCUUAGUACUGUAAAACAAACAAAACCCCAACAAACAAACAAAAAAACCCCAGCAGCCUCUAUGGCAACCCUGGUCACUAUGGCAACCAUGAAACCUAGAACUAUCCAGUCAAUAAGGCCAGCAGACCAGGUUUGGAGCUCUGCUCAAAAAGUGCUGAUUUGAAGCACUAUCAUUAUGUGACCAUCUGGCAGUUUCCUGGAAAACUAUCAUUUGAAGGACCCAUUAUUUGACCUGACUCAGCAACUCACUGGGGAAAGCCUUAUUCCCAGGGAAUGUGCCUAAAUCAGUCAGUGACAACUAUACAACAUGUAACAUUGCAGCUGCCUGAGGCUGCAAUACCAGUUGAGCUCCUGAACCAGCAGUCCUUCCCGGCACAGGUUUGAACUCCUUCUUAUCAGUUGCUAGUCCAGCUUUCUUACCAUGUACCAGCUCUACUUUUUCUGAACAUUCUUUGAUCUGGAAAAUGAAAGUGAGAUGAACACGUAAGUCCAACUUUGAAACAUAACAACCCAACAGCCAGGCCAGUAAGACAUUUUGCUGCCAGAGCUACCAACAUGACAUUGGUGUCCUUUCCAACAACCUACAAUGGAAGAAAAAGGAAAACAAGACAGUCACAACUGUGUAGAAGAGUACUGAAAAACAUUCUCAAAAGAACUCUGAAAGCUACUGUGCUAAUGGAUGAUCCAUCUUAUUUCCUAUAAAAGAGGAAACCUUAUUCCUCUUUGAUAAUAAUGAAUCUAGAAGCCUUUGUCAUGUUCAGUCUAUCUUUAAGUUCUACAUAAAGCACACAUAAAACAACUUCAAAUCGCUUGACACAGGUGGCAAUUUGGGCUGUCACCAUCACACAGCUGCAGGAGGUGACUCAGAUAACGGCGAUGCUGCAGGUUUACUUUUGGAACAAGAAAAUUAAAAAAGUGUACUUAACACCACAGGGCCCAAAGUAGGUAACUACAAUGUCUAAUAUUUAUACUCAUGAAGUACCAACAGAAACUUUGAAGUUCAGAACUCAAAAUUUCAAAUGCAUCUGAGGGAGUGCCUAGCUUUGGAGCUGCCACUGUAGUCAUACAAGGACAGUCAUAUAACCUCUGAGAAAUGGAAAGCCCACAGAAUACUGAAAAAAAGACAGUUUUAAAAAUAAUUUCAGAAAUCCAAAAGGAAUUUCAAAAUAAGUUUUUUACUGUUUACACUAGAAGAAAAAAAUGGGAAAUUAAUUAGAUUACUUGAUUUAGAUAACAGAGAGAAAACAAUAUUAACUGUAGGAGGAGGAAUCAAGUCUGUAUCUUAAUUCCUUAAUAUCAUUCUUUUUUUUUUUUUGUAGUACCAGGGAUUGAACUCAGGACUUGUGAGGCAGGCACAGCACCACUGAGCUAAAUCCCCAGCCCUCUUAAUAUCAUUUUUUUCUUCCCAUUUUCCCAUUUUUGAUAUGCUGCUGUGAAGUCAACAUAAUAUGAAGUUUGCAUAUUUGUGUGUGCACCUAAGUAAAAUCAAAUAUAAAUAUUGCGAUGUCAUGGUUCAGAUUAAUUCACACAAUGAUGAAAUUAAGUUUUCAUCAUUUUAAAUAUUUUAGCCACAAAAUUAACUUUCUUUUUACUUGCAGCUUUUGACUGAUAAAGUUUCUACAGCUGCCUAGAUUUCUCAGGUAUCUACUGACUAUGUCUACUCAGACUAUGUCAUGGGCUGGAGCUGUAACUCAGUGGUAGACCAUGUGCUGAGCAUACUCGAGACCCUGAGUUUGAUCCUCAGUACCACAAAUAAGGAGAGGAAAAAUAAGAAUAAGAAAAAGAAAAAGGAAACCAACAGUUCCCUUUGUAUGCAACACAGUGAGAUUACAGUUAUAGUCACAAUGCCAACAGAAAUCACAGAACUGUCUUUGAAAAGCUAACAACCUAAAAAAAAUGUGUAUAGAGAAUACCCAUUCCUAUUAAAGACAAAAAUAAAAAGCUAUUUCCUGUUUCUUAGUGUCCUCUUCCUCUCUCCUUCCCAUUCUUUCCUCCAGAUCUCAGGUCGCUAACUCCUUUUCCCUCAGGGAAAUUGUUUUUUUAAUUAAUCAUGUCUAUGGCCCUUUAAAAUACAAAAUUGGUGAAUGAACAAAGAUCUGACAAAUCAUAUCCUUGCCAUCAAGUCCCAUUUGGAGGAAAGCAUAGGAAAGUCAACUACUACAGUAUUAGGA
ensembl:lncRNA